rnacentral:tRNA from 1 species
UUAAAUGAAAUAAUUAAUUUCGACUUAAUUCAAGAUUUAUUAAAUCCAUUUAAA